rnacentral:rRNA from 1 species
AUUGAACGCUGGCGGCAGGCCUAACACAUGCAAGUCGAACGAGUGGCGGACGGGUGAGUAAUGUCUGGGAAACUGCCUGAUGGAGGGGGAUAACUACUGGAAACGGUAGCUAAUACCGCAUACCAUCGGAUGUUCCCAGAUGGGAUUCGCUAGUUGGUGGGGUAACGGCUCACCAAGGCGACGAUCCCUAGCUGGUCUGAGAGGAUGACCAGCCACACGGGAACUGAGACACGGCCCAGACUCCGACGGGAGGCAGCAGUGGGGAAUAUUGCACAAUGGGCGCAAGCCGGAGGCAGCCAUGCCGCGUGUAUGAAGAAGGCCUUAGGGUUGUAAAGUACUUUAAGCGGGGAGGCGUUACCCGCAGAAGAAGCACCGGCUAACUCCGUGCCAGCAGCCGCGGUAAUUC